rnacentral:rRNA from 1 species
UACGUAGGGUGCAAGCGUUAAUCGGAAUUACUGGGCGUAAAGCGUGCGCAGGCGGCUUUGCAAGACAGAUGUGAAAUCCCCGGGCUCAACCUGGGAACUGCAUUUGUGACUGCAUGGCUGGAGUGCGGCAGAGGGGGAUGGAAUUCCGCGUGUAGCAGUGAAAUGCGUAGAUAUGCGGAGGAACACCGAUGGCGAAGGCAAUCCCCUGGGCCUGCACUGACGCUCAUGCACGAAAGCUAGGGGAGCAAACGGG